rnacentral:sRNA from 1 species
GAAGCGGCACUCAAGAUGGUAGGAGAAUGAGCUCCUGUUUGGGAGCUGCGCCGCGAGGCCCGCCUGCGCCGCGAGUACCUGUACCGCAAGGCCCGGGAGGAGGCGCAGCGCUCAGCCCAGGAGAGGAAGGAGCGGCUGCGGCGCGCGCUGGAAGAAAACCGCCUGAUUCCCACUGAAUUACGCCGAGAGGCUCUGGCCUUACAGGGGUCCCUGGAGUUUGAUGAUGCCGGAGGUGAAGGUAACUAUACAAGGUAGCCCUCCCCAACACUGAGCUGGCAGGUCUCCAGUCCUUCCUCAGACACACCGGGCACCGUCCCAUCAGAGGAAACUGCUCCUGGAACUGUCCCCCAUGCCCUUGUUACUGCACAGAUGGCAUUGCAGGGCUCUCCCUGAGUGUGCCCUGUCCCACCUACAUGACACACAUGGGAGUGCACCACUGACUCUGUGCCUGGCUUGUUAAUUACCUCCCGCAGUGGAGUGCCUGCCGGGGCAAGACAAUAUCCCUCACACAUUAUUGGUGCCCGUACAUUUAUUCACUGCAUUAUU